GACGAACGCUGGCGGCGUGCUUAACACAUGCAAGUCGAACGGCAAGGCCCUGCUUUUGUGCUGUGCUCGAGUGGCGAACGGGUGAGUAACACGUGAGUAACCUGCCCUUGACUUUGGGAUAACUUCAGGAAACUGGGGCUACUACCGGAUAGGAGCUCCUGCUGCAUGGUGGGGGUUGGAAAGUUUCGGCGGUAGGGGAUGGACUCGCGGCUUAUCAGCUUGUUGGUGGGGUAGUGGCUUACCAAGGCUUUGACGGGUAGCCGGCCUGUGAGGGUGACCGGCGACAUUAGGACUGAGAGACGGAGCAGACGCCAACGGGAGACAACAGGGGGAAGUAUUACACAGUGGGAGGAAGCCUGAGGCAGAGGCGCCGCGUGCGGGAAGACGGCCUGCGGGUUAAGAACCGCUUUCGCCUGAGACGAAGCGGGAGUGACGGUAAUGGGUGAAGAAGCACCGGCUAACUACGUG
rnacentral:rRNA from 1 species